rnacentral:rRNA from 1 species
UACGUAGGGCGCGAGCGUUUGUCCGGAUUUAUUGGGCGUAAAGAGCUCGUAGGCGGCUUGUCGCGUCGAAUGUGAAAACUCGGGGCUUAACCCCGGGCCUGCAGUGGGUACGGGCAGACUAGAGUGCGGUAGGGGAGACUGGAAUUCCUGGUGUAGCGGUGAAAUGCGCAGGAUAUCAGGAGGAACACCGGUGGCGAAGGCGGGUCUCUGGGCCGAUAUUGACGCUGAGGAGCGAAAGCGUGGGGAGCGAACAGG